GCCAGACUCCUACGGGAGGCAGCAGUGGGGGAUAUUGCACAAUGGGGGAAACCCUGAUGCAGCGACGCCGCGUGAGUGAAGAAGUAAUUCGUUACGUAAAGCUCUAUCAGCAGGGAAGAAAAUGACGGUACCUGACUAAGAAGCCCCGGCUAACUACGUGCCAGCAGCCGCGGUAAUACGUAGGGGGCGAGCGUUAUCCGGAUUCACUGGGGGUAAAGGGAGCGUAGACGGCCAAGCAAGCCAGGGGUGAAAGCCCGGGGCCCAACCCCGGGACUGCCCUUGGAACUGCUUGGCUGGAGUGCGGGAGGGGCAGGCGGAAUUCCUGGUGUAGCGGUGAAAUGCGUAGAUAUCAGGAGGAACACCGGCGGCGAAGGCGGCCUGCUGGACCGCUACUGACGUUGAGGCUCGAAAGCGUGGGGAGCGAACAGGAUUAGAUACCCCCGUAACA
rnacentral:rRNA from 1 species